rnacentral:lncRNA from 1 species
GGCAUUUGCUCCAAGGCUUCGGCAAACGGAAUGUUUAUUUGUAAUUGUUUAAAAAUAUCCAUGAACCGGGCGUAAUGCCGUUCAUUCUCCCUUUUGGACGGGGCAUGAGGAUAAGGGAGGUUUUGGAUUGGAGUAGUGCUCACUACCUCCUUUCCCUUUGCAACUCUAGAACUCCUCCAUCUAGGCUUUUUCACUUCCUCCCCCUUUACUUCAUCACUCGUAUUUUUCU